CUCUCUGGGAUUGCGGAGCAUGGGUACUUUAUACUUUUGGAUUUUGUCCCAGUGUUUGUGGAAGACCUGGCCUGUUUUAUCUGUGCUAUUGUUUGACUAAUUCUAUUCAUUCUGCUUUGUCUUGUGCCCUCUGUGUCUGUCGCUGGGAAAUUUCCCCCCCGACCUAUCGUGACACCCAGUGACCCGCUGCGGGGGCUGUGCCAAGUAUGCAGACAAGCCUCCUGGUUGACUUCUUCGUUUCCGCCUCUGUGCUUUCUCCUAUCACCCCAUUGUUCUUUUUUGUAGUUCCUUUUCUACUGAAAUUACCUACCGAACAGUCCGUUGGUUAUCUUUCCCCUCGGAUCCUUUAACAUAUUAUCUCUAAGUUUUUAAUUUCCUGCCUCUGGGUCCAGCGCUACGUCUGAGCCUUGCUGAGAUGAUUUCUCUGGGUGGUUUUUUUUAAAUUUUUUUUUAAUUUUUUAUCUUGUCUUGUAUAUCUCAGGACUUCUGCUGGAAGCCGGAAGUGUAUCUGAAGGAGUUUUGGGUCUACUGAGUGCCGCCUUGGUUCGAGGACACGCGCCUCGGCCCUUCCUCUCCGCAGGCACCUGUCUGCCUGUGGAACCGGGCUAGUCCGUCCUGCAGCUUUCUCACCGGCUCAAGCUGCUAAUUUGCUGCCUUCUCGGUUCCUUCCCCAGCUCUCUGGGUGUGAGACACACACUUUGUCUUCCUCUCUGCUUUCCGUCACUUAAGCCGCAGCUCAGAACGAGGCUCUCAGACAAACAGCUUUUCAGGAGCCGAAAAGACAAAAAAAACCCACAAGAGGCAAGCAUCCCACCCAGUUUAAACAACCUGUGUCAUAGCUUGUCAAUCCUGAGUGGGCCCCUACAUUCGUCUGGUACUGACUGAGGACUCCAGAGCUCUCUCUUCCCCGUCAGGCCCAAGAAGCUUGUGUUACUGUUCUGACAGGGGAUGUUCAGUUGGUGGGAUGGCCUUGGUAUUCACAACACAGUCUCCCCCUGGGGCCUUUUCUGGGGUGUAGCGGAUCAGGAACCAACCACAAACCCAGCAGUGACUGAAUGAGUCGUGACGGUGCAAGGCCAACCUGCUUCUGGUCUCUGGAAGGUCUUUGCCUCCCCCAGCCUCCAUUUAACUCCUGGAUGCUGGACCCGUGACUGCCAUGUCUCCUGAGGCGCCGCUAGAGACUGUCCCGCUCUGUGGGCAGGCCCUCUUGGCGGAGUCUCUGGGGGUUAGGAAUCUGAUCAAGUCUAAUGCCAGCUGUGUCACGGUCACUGCCCUGUCGCCUUUAUAGUGCUGAGCACAGAAGCUGAGGCCCAGCCAAGGGCCUGAAGCUCCAUCAAUCAUUCACACGCUGGAGGUUUCUGAAAUACAUGAUCUCAUCCAUGAGUCCUCUCAUGGUCUGUCCCAGAGGCCCCCGGGAGCCUGUGGCUUCAAUCCAAGUGGCUCUGGGCAGGUUCCCUCACUUCCCACCCCUGAGGGGUCAACUUGUCUUACAGGGGUUCUGUCUUGCUCUUUCCUCUUAUGCACAGCUCGGGCAGACAGAGCUGACUGGAGGUGCACAUUCUACUAUCCAGGUAUUCCAGAAGCUGCCUUGUGUCCGAUACCAUGAGUCUCAGUUGUGGUUCAGAACAAGCUCCCGAUGAGCAUGAGGAGAGAAGCCGGACCAUCCAGAGCUUCUCUUUGCAGGCCAUGGUGCCCCAGAUGGGUGGGAGUGGUGAGCUGUGGCCCCCACCCUUUCUCCAAUAGAGCCUGGUGGAGAAGCUGGGCCUGAAAUCCCGUGACUAGAAAAGGAGUGAGGACAUAUUAUAUUGGCCCCUAAGGGUCAAGUCCCCCUCCAGUCCAUUGAGGCUUGGGGAACUGGGGAAAACAGAGACCAGGCUAAGGCUAGUGAGGGGAUUACGGAGAUGCCCCAUCCCCGGGGAGGUGAAGGAUGAGGUCUCUGGGGGUAGCUGCAGGGCUGGUUGCUGCAGAAGAUCUAUUAUUGUUCUUCACAUGUCCUCCCACACAGGAGAUGCUCCAGGUUCCUUCUAUAUCCUGCGGUGCGCCUAAAUCACCUUCUUCAUAUGGGGACAGGUGUCCAGAAGUGUAUGAAUGCUUUCUCCUGUCUUUGGCUCCUCAGGCUUUCGAUGGAGAGCUGCAGGACUCAAUUCUGAGAGGCAGAAAUUGGGAGCCCAGCCCCAGGGCCCAGUCUGACUGGGUAGGAAGACAAGAGAAGCACCAAUGAGUUCAAUAAACCAUGUACAUCAUGUCUUUGUUGAUUCUAUGCUCCCGGCAGUUUAAACAAACCUGGGUCAAUUCUGACACUUGCCUUAGGGACAAAGAUCACUGAUUUUUUUCCCCUCAACCAUUGUAUUACAUCUUCAUUAUAAUUUGACUUGAUUCAUUAAAGUUAUUAACUCUCCAA